rnacentral:rRNA from 1 species
UACGAAGGGUGCAAGCGUUAAUCGGAAUUAUUGGGCGUAAAGGGUGCGUAGGCGGUCUGUUAAGUUGGAUGUGAAAGCCCCGGGCUCAACCUGGGAAUGGCAUCCAAAACUGGCAGGAUGGAGUGCGGUAGAGGAUGGUGGAAUUCCCGGUGUAGCGGUGAAAUGCGUAGAGAUCGGGAGGAACAUCGAUGGCGAAGGCAGCCAUCUGGACCAGCACUGACGCUGAGGCACGAAAGCGUGGGGAGCAAACAGGAUUAGAUA